rnacentral:rRNA from 1 species
CCCUAAAUUUAUUAAUGGUACAACCUGCCCAGUGAAAUUUUAAACGGCCGCGGUAUCCUAACCGUGCAAAGGUAGCGUAAUCACUUGUCCUUUAAAUGAGGACUAGUAUGAAUGGUUAAAUGAGGGUAGACCUGUCUCUCGUGGAAAAUCAGUGAAACUGAACUUACAGUACAAAUGCUGUGAUACACACACAAGACGAGAAGACCCUGCGGAGCUUUUAAACAACCCUCAAACAAUAAAUUGAGAACGAGUUUUCAGUUGGGGCGACUUCGGAACAAAACAAAACUUCCGAGCUAAGAGACCAUCUCUUGAAGAGGCUAACAAGCCAAUACAUUAAAACAAUGACCCGGGCCUAAACCCGAUUAACGAACCAAGUUACCCCAGGGAUAACAGCGCUAUCUUCUUUUAGAGUCCAUAUCAACAAGAAGGCUUACGACCUCGAUGUUGGAUCAGGACACCCAAAUGGUGCAGCCGCUAUUAAUGGUUCGUUUGUUCAACGAUUAACAGUCCUACGUGAUCUG